AUUGACCGCUGGCGGCAGGCUUAACACAUGCAAGUCGAGCGAGCGGCGGACGGGUGAGUAAUGUCUGGGAAACUGCCUGAUGGAGGGGGAUAACUACUGGAAACGGUAGCUAAUACCGCAUACCAUCAGAUUUUCCCAGAUGGGAUUAGCUAGUAGGUGGGGUAAUGGCUCACCUAGGCGACGAUCCCUAGCUGGUCUGAGAGGAUGACCAGACAAACGGGAACGGAGAAACGAUCCAGAAGCGUACGGGAGGCAGCAGUGGGGAAUAGGGCACAAUGGGCGCAAGCCUGAUGCAGCCAUGCCGCGUGUGGGAAGAGGGCAUUCGGGUUGUAAAGCACUUUCAGCGAGGAGGCGUUAAUCGAAGAAGAAGCACCGGCUAACUCCGUGCCAGCAGCCGCGGUAAUUC
rnacentral:rRNA from 1 species